rnacentral:rRNA from 1 species
CAAUAGCGUAUAUUUAAGUUGCUGCAGUUAAAAAGCUCGUAGUUGGAUUUCGGGUGGGAAUGGCCGGUCCGCCGUUUCGGUGUGCACUUGCUACGCCCACCUUGCUGCCGGGGACGUGCUCUUGAGUUCACGCUCGGGACACGGAGUCGGCGAGGUUACUUUGAGUAAAUUAGAGCGUUCAAAGCAGGCCUACGCUCUGAAUACAUUAGCAUGGAAUAACACGAUAGGACUCUGGCCUAUCUUGUUGGUCUGUAGGACCGGAGUAAUGAUUAAGAGGGACAGUCGGGGGCAUUCGUAUUUCAUUGUCAGAGGUGAAAUUCUUGGAUUUAUGAAAGACGAACUACUGCGAAAGCAUUUGCCAAGGAUGUUUUCACUAA